rnacentral:lncRNA from 1 species
AGUGAGGCCCGCUGACCCCAGUGACAGUUGCCCAGUGAAUGUUCAAACUCCAAACCUGGAGCAAGGAGUGAAGGAUGACUGUCAGCCAGACUUGGCCACUGAUGACCAAAGCACAAACAGCCUGCUCCCUGCAUCACUCCCAGCUGCAGACUCACAGGAAUCAAAGGCUGGAUCCUCUGUGUCUGUUGCGUCACUCGAGUCUGCUGGACUGCUGCUCAAAUCUUCCCAGGGAGCCACAGUAGCCGGGGCAACAGCUGGACUUCCGCCCCUAAGUCCUUCUCCAGAAAAACCCUCAGUCCAAGAAGCCAGCUAGCAAACUGCAGUCUGCACCUUGUCCACUUGACUUUUCUGUACUGAAGAGUCUCCUGCUUCCAGUCUUGCUGCCCUUCCACCGUUCUGCUCUGGAUGGACAGACAGACAUCAACGCAUACCACUCACCAUCCUUCCAGGAGGAGGGACACAAUUCUGCUUUUGUCCAAUCUGGGGCAAGCAUACAUCCUGACUGUACUUCCUGCCUAUGUUCCUCCCACCUACAUGUGACCGGGCACAUCCUGUACAGUUGGGGCAAGCAAGCUGUUUACAGAAGUGAAAACAGGUGGCUUGUUGUCUUACAUGAAAGAUAUCCCCCAGCAUUCCUGGAAGUUAUCUGACCUUGGGCAAGUGGGGCUUACAGGUUAAAAACAUCUUUGUUUUGUAGGUCUCUUAAGCACAGCAAUUAAAACUUAAAACGU